rnacentral:rRNA from 1 species
UGGGAAGUAUUGCAUCAAUGGCAGGCAAGCCAUGACUGCAGCCAUGCCGCGCUGUAUGAAGAAGGCCAAUUCGGGCUUUGGUUAAAGAUACUUUCAGCGAGGAGGAAGGCGUUGUGGUUAAUAACCGCAGCGAUUGACGUUACUCGCAGAAGAAGCACCGGCUAACUCCGUGCCAGCAGCCGCGGUAAUACGGAGGGUGCAAGCGUUAAUCGGAAUUACUGGGCGUAAAGCGCACGCAGGCGGUCUGUCAAGUCGGAUGUGAAAUCCCCGGGCUCAACCUGGGAACUGCAUCCGAAACUGGCAGGCUAGAGUCUUGUAGA